UACAGAGGGAGCGAGCGUUGUUCGGAAUUACUGGGCGUAAAGGGCGCGUAGGCGGUCCGAUAAGUCCCGUGUGAAAUCCCUCGGCUCAACUGAGGAAUGGCACGGGAAACUGACGGGCUUGAGUUCGGGAGAGGGAGCGGAAUUCCGGGUGUAGCGGUGAAAUGCGUAGAUAUCCGGAGGAACACCGGUGGCGAAGGCGGCUUCCUGGACCGACACUGACGCUGAGGCGCGAAAGCUAGGGGAGCGAACAGG
rnacentral:rRNA from 1 species